rnacentral:rRNA from 1 species
GACGAACGCUGGCGGUGUGCUUAACAUAUGCAAGUCGAACGGAAAGGCCCUGCUUUUGUGGGGUGCUCGAGUGGCGAACGGGUGAGUAACACGUGAGUAACCUGCCCUUGACUUUGGGAUAACUUCAGGAAACUGGGGCUAAUACCGGAUAGGAGCUCCUGCUGCAUGGUGGGGGUUGGAAAGUUUCGGCGGUUGGGGAUGGACUCGCGGCUUAUCAGCUUGUUGGUGGGGUAGUGGCUUACCACGGCUUUGACGGGUAGCCGGCCUGAGAGGGUGACCGGCCACAUUGGGACUGAGAUACGGCCCAGACUCCUACGGGAGGCAGCAGUGGGGAAUAUUGCACAAUGGGCGGAAGCCUGAUGCAGCAACGCCGCGUGCGGGAUGACGGCCUUCGGGUUGUAAACCGCUUUCGCCUGUGACGAAGCGUGAGUGACGGUAAUGGGUAAAGAAGCACCGGCUAACUACGUG